CGCGGUAACCAUUUUUACAUCAUUACGCCAGUCCACUUUGUUUAUGCAUGCAUACGCGUAGCAGGCGGCGUCGGCAGCAGACGGUUCCUGGCAAGCGCUGCUGGGUGCUGGCUUUGGCUGCUACUGCUGCCGUUAGCCAGCAAUUUAGCGGCGGCAGUAGCAGCACCACACAGCGCAACGGCAGCAGCGGCUAACUGUGUAAUGUCCCUCGGCUAAUACACAUCGGCUGGGACACGGUUGUCUGCUGCUGCUGAUGCCGCUGCUGUUGGUUGAACGUAGCCGCUUUCGCAACAGCCCCCCCACUCCCGAAGCAAAGAGUUGUUCACCUCGCAACAGUUGCCAGCGGGUUCUAGUAGCCGAAAGGCAGUAUGGUCAGUAGUGUCGCUAGAUUGCAAAUCCUUCCCUGGACGGAAAACGCGAGCGUUCGGCAGUGUGGUGCGUUUGAGUGUGUUGAGUGCGAGUGCAAGUGGUCAUACCGUCGAAAGGAUGCAAAGAUGGGCUACAACCAGCAAGCAGCCCUUUCGCUGCGUCGUGGUCAGUGCGUGCGUUCAGCUGGAAAAAUAUUUGAUGCAAACUGUGCUACUACAUCAACAACAACAACAACAACAGUCGCAGCAGUUCGGCAGGGAAACAAACCCUCUCCAGGCGGUGGUGUGCGUGCAGCGUAAGCGUGUGUGCUAUCCUUCUCCGAAACCGUGACCGGUGUGAAAAGUGUACGUUUUCGUUUGUUUAUUAUCAUCCGACCCUGUCAACAAUAAACGUGCAGUGGACAACAGUGGCCUCGCGUCAUUGUGCAAGAUGUUGUAGCUCUUCCGGUGCAUGCAGUGGAAAACCAUCCGACAGGAACGGAAGCAGAUUGAAGGAUAAAUGAGUGUGUUUAAUUAAACGCUCAAUUCGCAUUUUUUUUCGUGAGUGCAUGUGAUUUGGUGAAUCUAGCCCGGAGCAGUAACGGUUGUUGUUUUCGUUUUGUGGCCUUUUUUAUCCGUGAACGUACAAUAACACUGUAAAGUUUUGGAAACACAACAUAUUUUGCGUUCAAUUUGGUCAACUUUCAUCCCUUCUACCGUUGAGUGUAAACAAACCAGUUCGAUGCGUGAUGACCCGUGCCCGCCUUUCGUAGUGGUUAUGGUAACCUAGUGCGUCAUCAUCAUGUGCGAGCGUCGUUAGGUUCGCGGAAGGAUACGGCAGGACACACGACGAUAGUAUUGAGUGCAUUCUCUCGCCUCGACGGUGAUAAGCAUAAAUGUGAAUGCGAGACUCAGCUGUUUGUGCCGUACCGGAACGAGCUGGAACGUGCUGCUGAACCAUGGUUUCAACACAAAACACAACACAGUGCAAUCGGUGUUGUUGGACAGCAAGUAAUUUGCUACCUGCAGUGCGAACUUUGUGAUUCUUCGUUCAAUUCAUUUUUAAACAACAUUGCACGGUGUGCAGAAAAUGGCAAGUGAAACUCCUGUAAAGAUUCUUUGGCUGCCUAUGACUCCCGUUGUUUAUUUAUUUUCCGUUUCUUAUUGACUUGAACAUGAAUAUUAUUCAACCAUGAUUCUUCAAACCAAACGUGAAAAGCAACAAUGUUACUAAUAACAACUAAACUAUAUCAAGAUAUGAACACUCAACGGAAUCGGCUAUGGAAACUCUAGCUAAUUUAUUUGCAGUAACCAACUCCACUACUUAGUUUUAUUACAGUGCAAUUUAACAGCACAACAAAAAAGAAAUCUCACUCGUUCUGUCCUUGCUUUCACACCUUCGUCCAUUGACGUUGCUACUAAACUACUAGACAGGUUUCCUUAGCUGGAAAUCUAUCACUUAGUACUAAAAAAACCUUCGAGUGGACUACACACGCUCCCGUGCACGAAUGAUCAACUUAAAAAUGGUUUGGGUUCUACAGCCUACAACACAUUUCGAAUGUUUCAACAACUACAAUAUACGUUCCAAACCACGGAAAGGGAAACAGAUUCCUGCCGAAACCCGCUCGCUUUACACUGAACAAAGCACGAGAAAUGCACACAACGAUACCCGCCACACGAACCCUUCGCUCCGUUCUAUCCUGAAAGGGAGCAUUUGCUCUAGCAGCAAACGCACAAGAGUGUCGAAACUAAACAGUUUCACCAGGAGCACAAACCUGACGAAAAAAAAAACGAUUUGACAUAACCGAUUGCGGCGUAAAACAUGCGCGCAAAAGAAGCAAGAGCAAGUGCGACACGAUACAGAUGCAAGAAGCAAGAAGAAACACAGAUAAACAGAAGAAAUGCAACAAUUAAGUUCCUACUCUAAAAUAAAGAAAAAUGAAACAUGAAACAUAGAUAAAAAUAUACGUUAUAAACGAGAGUGUAAUAAUUGUACUAUUUAGGCGCAUGAAUUUAACCCAAAAUCGGAUUGUUCGAUGUUUUUUGGGAAGUGAAACAAAACGAAAAGAAGAUGAGAUAGAAAAUGAAAAGAAAAGAUACACACCCCCCGAGACGCAUAUACACACAUGAGAGUAGGAGAGAAAAGGAGAAAAGAAAAACAUCAGCAAACAAAUCAUGUGAACGCAAAUCGUGAUCGUGACAAAAUGUAAAGUUACAAGAGACUGAACGUUUGCCCUGGGGUGGCGGCGUUUGGUUUAUGAUUGUGUUUUAACAUAUUAGAAAAAAAACCCUUAUGCUACAUGAUCAGCAUAAUGCAUAGUCCUACUCCUAGACCUUAUAUUUUAAUGAUCAAUUCCUUGCGGUUGGAGUGUUUUUUCGCCAUCGGAACCUACUAGCAGGUCUCCGGACUGUUCAGCGUGAAGACCACUUUGACCGUGCGCGAUUAAUCCUUAAAAAGGGUUUAAGAUCUAAGCUAUAACGAUGUGUCAUUCUGCAGUAUGGAAGAUUCAAAUAUGACGUAAAACACAAACAGCCAAACGUCGCCACACACAUGGCAGACAGAACAGUUUUUGCACCUCGCUUGUUCUCAUCUCAACACAAAUUGAGAUGAGACCUAGAAUUCUACUAACUAUAACAUGUAGUAUUAAGAAAGUUACACUGAAGCCGAAGUGAAAAGAAAGUUCAUUUCAGAAUGAUUAAACGAUAACAUAAGCUACACAAAUACACGCAAACAAAGCGUAAAACGAAGUGUGAGACAAUUAAACACUGAUGAAUAAAUGUAUAAAGUGAUGGACAGGAGAAGCUGCAAAAAGAAAAGCACAAAAGACGAAUAAUCAUGGCGAACAAUGCCAUACGAUGUGUGAGUGUGUGUGUGUGUAAUUAAAACGAAAUCAAGCAGCAGUAUAAUGUAAAAGCACUAUUGAACAUAAUGAUAUCAAAAAGGCAGCAGAAAGAUCGAGAUCGAUCUCAUAAUCCAUCUCGAUGAUAGGGUUUUGAUUCUUGUAUCAUACAUCUUUGCGCCGUUACCUUUCUUUUUGCUGUUCUCUGGGCUAAGGUGCAGAAAGUUUCCAGCGCCAAACACUUGACAAAAAGAUCCACGAGCUAUUAAACUCUACUCUUUGCACGUUUCCACAUUUUGAAGCGGACGAUUUUCGAUACAUUGCAGCAUAAACAACAACCAACUGUUUCUGUGCGAUCAACAACACAGUUUGGACCAGCUAGUGGAACAUUCCAACAUCAACUUACCACCGUUUCACACAAGCGGGCUCGUUAAGUCAACAAGAUAAGCAUUGCGAUCUUAUAUACUAUUGUAGUUAGCUUAUCGAAAUGCAUAGACAUAUUUUUUAAAACGUGGGAAAAUAUAACAAAAAAAAACAUAAAAAUCAUAAAACAAAAACAAAAAAAUAUCGAGUGCGUAAAAUAGAUGAAAGUUAAAUAUAUGCAUACAUACCCUUUGAAUAUUUAUUAUUCAUUGACGAUCGAAGAAAAUCAAUUGAUCUCUAGCGACUAUAUUCGUCACCCACAGUGACAGUGAUCGAGUGCGUUCGAUCGUUGCUCGCUGUGCGCGUACGAUCAGUCGGCUCAUGUGCAAACAUACAAUCCAUGUGCAAUGAAACAUAAAAUUUGUUCGCUAAUGUUGUGUGCGAUAAUUGAUCGGACAACAGUUUGAUAUUAGGAAAUAGGGUAAAAUUGAGCAAUGAAACAGACAGAGGAAAGGUGUGCUGAAUAUGCGAGGAGGCUCACUGUUCCUUUUGUCUCUUUCGUUUUGGUGUGUGAACCGAGUGAACGGGGGAGGCUAUAACUUUCAAACCGUUCUGCUGAAGUCGACAGCAGAACGGAUUGAACGUUGUAGGGAUUAAAAUUCAUCAAUAUUUGCAGCUAUUGUUUAGGAGAUAAAGGGAAUCGGCAGAAAGGGAAAAUGAUUAGAUUGAGCCAGCAGUUGAUGUGAGAUAUUUUUUUAGAUUUACUAAGAGCUAAAGAAGACGGCAGUCAUACGGCCAGUGGCUAAGCGGUAGCACUAACUGAUGAAAAGUUCCUAUAAUGCAUUACCCGCAUUCUUCGAGUCGAUCGGGAAUGAGGGUGUGCGACCAUUUGUCAUUAAUAUUACAGACAUUACAUUACACACUCACUUCAACGUAAAUAUGAAUCUAUUAUAUAAUACUACUAAACAAACAAGCGUAUGUAUAAACGGCAAUGUUUCGUUUGAUAAUGUUUUAAGUUAGUUUGUGCAGUUUCCAAUAAUGAUUCGAUGCAUGUGCAAGGGAACUUACCGAAUCUAAUGAUGAUGAUAGGUUCUGUCUAGAGCAACUGCUUUACACGGUCCAAACGGCAGGAAACAUAGUGCAAUGUAUAAAACACUAUUGGAACUUUCACACCAGUGCAUCGAGAGAGUUUAAUUUGCCGGAUCGAACUCCAUCUAUUAGUACUGUAACGAGCGUUGGAUUUUUUUAAGACAGCAUCCUGCCUGUCUGAGAUAACAAUUUUUAAUAAUGGAUUGUUCACCAAAUUGAAUCGUUUCGUUUAUAACGAAAAUGUUCGCUUUACUACUCGAAGAGACAUUUUAUUCGAUGUAUAAAUAUGGACACAAAAGGUUUGUUGGUAAAAUAAACCGAAACACCACUGCACGCGAUCACCAACACACGUAGGCACAUAAUGGAAAACAAAAAAAAACACACUCACUGAAUGACAUUGUUUCGUGAAAAAUAAUUUACUGAAACUACCAAAAUUGAAUGUUACACAAAAACAUGACAAUUGAUACUCGCGAAAACAACAAUAAUAGUUUAUUAGGUUGAAUAGAGAGAGGACAGCAGUAUGUUUGACUGUUUCAAAAAGGUGGCUAAGGUGCAGACAUGUAAUGGCAAAACAUGCAUAACUUUAAAUGAAACGAAUUUUGUUCCUAUUUGAGAUUGGAGAGAUAACGAGAAAACACAAGUGUGAGCAAAGAAUAUGGCAAACAUUAACAAAGAAAGAAACGCAAAAUGCAAAAAUAACCAUACAAAACCAGAAAACCGUAGCAAUUCAUGCGAAUUAAACAUCAAAUCAUAAUGAUAAAAAACACACACAAACACACACAACCACAAAUAAUCAAACAUUUCUACAACCAGAGAGAGUCAGAGAAAGAGAUAACGGAAGAUAAAAGAAACACAGAAAGACUCGACAUAUCAUGAACGAUUACUUUUGCCCUCGCAUUAAACAAGUGAAACUAAGAAAAUUUUUAAACCCAACCGCAUUAAAAAAGUGAAUCAUUUAGAUGAGGGAAGCUGAAGAAGAAAACGUUCUUUCAUGUGUCAAAUGUCAACCAACAUAACACACUAUUGCUACUACUAGUAAUAUUACUGUUACUACCAAUACUACUACUUACUACUAUUACUACUAACAACUACUCUACAGAAGGCAGCAGAACAGAGAUCAAAUACCAGGGCUACUUUCUUCGUUGCCGUUUAUUUCCCUCAACUAAACUGUUGUGAUCUAUACUCCUUGUUUUAAGCAAGUUCAAACCCAAAACUCCAACAAAAAACCAAACGCAUCCUGUAGAAGGCCAAGACUAAACUGCGCUUAAAAAAGAAAACCAACCUCUACUACAAAGUUCCUGUUCCCUUGCAUUUUGGCACGCGAUCGCAAGGGGUGUGAUCGGUGCUCGUGGGAAAAAUUGUUCAGUUUGUUAUUUCAACAUAUUUGUUAGUCUUAUUUUAAAGUCGUUCGUUCAAAUUUUCCUCAGACAAGAAAAAAAAAGAAACUUUACAAUACUCCAUGACAAACGAUGCUUAUUGAAGCGGUAUUGCUUCCGACACACUUUUUCAAUGAUUGGCAGAAUAAAUUAUAGCGUUUCACAAUGAUUAGAUAAACAUGAUGUGUGAGCGUGAUGGUAGAGGAUUGUCAUUUAUGACGCUACAAAUGAUGAAAACGAAAACUGAAUUUGAAACAAUUCAAAUUUUCACUCGGGAGACACUGAAGCUACCAGAAGCAAAGUGUUGUUUCUUCCAUGGUGAGUGAUUUGAAUUGAUUCCAGUUUUCUUCCAGAGGGUGAGAUAGUGAGGUCAUCAAACUGGAUCCAGUUCUGGAUCUCAACAAUGUCGUUGAUGGCAGCGGUUAAAUCCACCCCGCCCUCUGUAGCCAACCACGAGCAAAUGUAACCCUGGGAAACGCAAAGGAAAGAGCAGCAAAAGCAAAUGUUAAAAAGAAGAUAAGAAACAAACACACUAACCUAACGAAAAUGGUAAAAAGAGUUCCUAUAAAUUAAGUACUACUAACUAACAAUACUCACUCGCAACACGCAGUGACUGUUUAUGUUUAUAUUUUUCGUUGAUUUGUUAAUUUGUUUUCAUGCUAGUUUUGCGUUUCUUUUUUUAAUUAGUUUUUAACACAAUUUUUUUCUAUUUAUUUUCCUGUUGUCUUUUAAUACACUCGGUGAAAUACUACAACGUUACUUUUACAUUUUUGUAACCCUUUAUCAAUAUACAACAAAAAGCAGAAACACUGAUCUACGAUGUAAGAAUUACUUGAUGAGUUUGAUGUAUGAAAAAUUGUAAAGAUAACAUUAAAAAUAUGGUGAAAAGUAACUAUUAGCUAUAGGAACCGAAUCGGUACAGUGAGCCGCAAUUUGCCCAAAAUUAAACCAAAAACGUAUGUUCUUAAACCGUUUUACGUAACACUACCGACGUGCAGACCGCAUUUGAUAAUGGUUUUAUGUUGAACACUUUCAAUCCAAUCCCCAAAACGACAAGUGUAUGAAGAGUUUUACAUAUCUUCAGCAUAAAAACACAUGUAAAUCAACAGUCAAACCGGCACUUAAAAGAGCAAGUGCAUUCAAUCAAACAAUUACAGAAGACAAAAAAACAAUCUACGAAAUGAAUUACGGAGUAAACAUUACCGGCAAAUGUAUGCUGGUAGAAAGAACUAUGGUUUAAGGUACCCUCUGUAAUAUUGCCAUUUGCUUUCACCUUCUUCACAUGCCCUCCUGAUCCUUCACCAUCAGUCAACGUCAACUAAACUAUACCGCAGCUAACACUAAUAACGAGCCGGAAAACAUUUCAACCCAAGCAUACUUAUUCUAGCGAGCUGCAGGAAUUCAAACGAAACGCAACGUAACAGGACAACGGUCCUUACAAUCUAGCACAAAGGAGGGGAGAUACGUGGAUGAAAUGAAGCAUACACACACACAAUUGCAGAAAAAAUCUACUUACAUUGUAUAAGAUAUAUUGUCAGAUGUAAAAGAAGAAAAAUAAACUUAUUUGGUAGUCAA